AGGGUGCGAGCGUUAUCCGGAAUCAUUGGGCGUAAAGAGCUCGUAGGCGGCCCGUUAAGUCAGUGGUGAAAGCCAACAGCUCAACUGUUGAACUGCCAUUGAUACUGACGGGCUUGAGUACAGACGAGGUAGGCGGAAUUGAAGAUGUAGCGGUGAAAUGCAUAGAUAUCUUCAAGAACACCGAUUGCGUAGGCAGCUUACUAGGCUGUAACUGACGCUGAGGCACGAAAGCGUGGGGAGCGAACA
rnacentral:rRNA from 1 species